rnacentral:tRNA from 2 species
UCCGUACUGGUGUAUCGGUAACAUUUCCGCCUCUCAAAAAGAGUAACGCGGUAGCGCAGGGUUCGACUCCCUGGUACGGAA